GCGGGGUGUGGGUUCCGUCCACCCCAGGGCGGCGCGGUGCACGCCGGGAGUCGGAGGCGCCACGGGGCCUGCAUCCCGGCGGCCCCGGGCGGCGCAGUGCACGCCGGGAAUUGGAGUCCCGCCGGCCCGGCCUGACCUGUUGCUGCCUCCCUGGGCGGGUGUCCCGGGGGCUGAGGACAGGGACGGGGAUGGCGCGGCCUGGACGGGGAUGGCGCGGCCAGGCCGGGGCGCCUGCGCAGACGGCCGGGGCCGGCGACAAGCUGGGGAAAGCGGGGAGUAUGCAUAAGCUUAAAUCAUCUCAGAAGGACGAGGUCCACCAGCUCAUGGCAUUCACUCAGGCUGGUGAGAGAACUGCCAUCUGGCGCUCAGCCCAAAGUGAGUGGAAACUGGACGCGCCACGGACAGCUUCUUCCAGAACCCGGCCUCGUUCCACAAGGACUCCAUGCGAACCUCCGUGGACAGGAAGACGCUGGAGCCGCUGUAUAACUGGUACAAAGGUAGGGGCGCAGUGGCGAGUGCGUCCGUCUCCAGGGAGCAGGUGGCUGUGCUGGAGCCUCCGUGCUGCAUCCCAGGCCCCCGACGUGCAUUCCCUUCCCGUGCAGACGUUCAGCUGCACAAAAGUCUGA
rnacentral:lncRNA from 1 species